rnacentral:rRNA from 1 species
UACGUAGGGUCCGAGCGUUGUCCGGAAUUAUUGGGCGUAAAGAGCUCGUAGGCGGUUUGUCGCGUCUGCCGUGAAAGUCCGGGGCUCAACUCCGGAUCUGCGGUGGGUACGGGCAGACUAGAGUGAUGUAGGGGAGACUGGAAUUCCUGGUGUAGCGGUGAAAUGCGCAGAUAUCAGGAGGAACACCGGUGGCGAAGGCGCCACUCUGGGCCGGUACUGACGCUGAGGAGCGAAAGCGUGGGUAGCAAACAGG